CACGUAGGGUGCGAGCGUUGUCCGGAAUUAUUGGGCGUAAAGAGCUCGUAGGCGGUUUGUCGCGUCUGCUGUGAAAUCCCAGGGCUUAACCCUGGGCCUGCAGUGGGUACGGGCAAACUAGAGUGCGGUAGGGGAGAUCGGAAUUCCUGGUGUAGCGGUGAAAUGCGCAGAUAUCAGGAGGAACACCGGUGGCGAAGGCGGAUCUCUGGGCCGUAACUGACGCUGAGGAGCGAAAGCAUGGGUAGCGAACAGG
rnacentral:rRNA from 1 species